rnacentral:rRNA from 1 species
GAUGAACGCUGGCGGCGUGCUUAACACAUGCAAGUCGAACGGACUUGUUAUGAAGCCUAGCGAAUAACAAGUUAGUGGCGGACGGGUGAGUAACGCGUGGGUAACCUGCCUUAUACAGGGGGAUAACACUUAGAAAUAGGUGCUAAUACCGCAUAAGCGCACAGUUUCGCAUGAAACAGUGUGAAAACUCCGGUGGUAUAAGAUGGACCCGCGUCUGAUUAGCUGGUUGGUGAGGUAACGGCCCACCAAGGCGACGAUCAGUAGCCGGCCUGAGAGGGUGAACGGCCACAUUGGGACUGAGACACGGCCCAA